rnacentral:rRNA from 1 species
CAAUAGCGUAUAUUAAAGUUGUUGCAAUUAAAAAGCUCGUAGUUGGAUUUCUGGUAGGAGUGACCGUUCCGAACUUGAUUGUUCGUGUAUUGUGUUUUCUCCAGCCAUCCUUGUGGAGAACUUUUCUUGCAUUAAUUUGUAGGGAUUGGGACCCGCAUCGUUUACUGUGAAAAAAUUAGAGUGUUUAAAGCAGGCGAUCGCUUGAAUACAUUAGCAUGGAAUAAUAAGAUAGGACUUUGGUACUAUUUUGUUGGUUUGCAUACCAAAUUAAUGAUCAACAGGAACAGUUUGAGGAUAUUCGUAUGAACAUGUCAGAGGUGAAAUUCUUGGAUUUUGAUCAGACGAACUACUGCGAAAGCAUUUAUCAAGGAUGUUUUCAUUAA